rnacentral:rRNA from 1 species
UACGUAGGGUGCAAGCGUUGUCCGGAAUUAUUGGGCGUAAAGAGCUCGUAGGCGGUUUGUCACGUCUGCUGUGAAAAUCCAAGGCUCAACCUUGGACUUGCAGUGGGUACGGGCAGGCUAGAGUGCGGUAGGGGAGAUGGGAAUUCCUGGUGUAGCGGUGGAAUGCGCAGAUAUCAGGAGGAACACCAAUGGCGAAGGCACAUCUCUGGGCCGUAACUGACGCUGAGGAGCGAAAGCGUGGGGAGCGAACAGGAUUAGAUACCCUGGUAGUCCACGCCGUAAACGGUGGGUGCUAGCUGUGGGCCACAUUCCACGUGGUCCGUGACGAAGUUAACACAUUAAGCACCCCGCCUGGGGAGUACGGCCGCAAGGCUAAAACUCAAAGGAAUUGACGGGGGCCCGCACAAGCGGCGGAGCAUGCGGAUUAAUUCGAUGCAACGCGAAGAACCUUACCAAGGCUUGACAUAUAGAGGAAAAGUGCAGAGAUGCACUCCCCGCAAGGUCUCUAUACAGGUGGUGCAUGGUUGUCGUCAGCUCGUGUCGUGAGAUGUUGGGUUAAGUCCCGCAACGAGCGCAACCCUCGUCCUAUGUUGCCAGCACGUUAUGGUGGGAACUCAUGGGAUACUGCCGGGGUCAACUCGGAGGAAGGUGGGGAUGACGUCAAAUCAUCAUGCCCCUUAUGUCUUGGGCUUCACGCAUGCUACAAUGGCCGGUACAGAGGGCAGCAAUACCGCAAGGUGGAGCGAAUCCCAAAAAGCCGGUCUCAGUUCGGAUUGAGGUUUGCAACUCGACCUCAUGAAGUCGGAGUCGCUAGUAAUCGUAGAUCAGCAACGCUACGGUGAAUACGUUCCCGGGCCU